UUCGUAUGUUUGGCAGCGAAGUAGAUUCUAGGGCGACGAGCGAGCGCGGCAACUGAGGGGGAAAACAACGUAAACGGGGACAAACCGCAGGGAACUCGAUGCGAUCGGAGAACGGAGCAGAAACCGAAACUCAUCCUGCGAUAACAAUGGCUCGUGUACGCAAAUUUCGGCGCAACACGCGUGUAAUAGCGAAGCGUGUAACGCGUGCUCCCCGAGGACGAGAAAGACGGGCUGAAAACCGGUUCGCACGCGGGGAUGGUUUCGUUGGUGUUUGCGCCACUAACGACAUCCCCUUCACGGUUUAGUCGCGGUGCGCGUUUCACGUUAAUUAUUCGCGACCAAAAUUCGCUGGAGUAUGGAUGAGUUUUUUUUUUUUCCGAGAAAGCGUGGUGUUCAUUCUUUGGCACAUUAUUUUAGAGAUAUGAAGCAAAACAGAGGACAUCCAAAGAUGUUGAAGAAACGUGUAUGGAAAGUAGUUGAGAAACAAAGUGUCGGAAGUUUUCCGAGAAAACAGCGGCACGACGCGUCAAGUUUAACGACGUUCGACUAUUCGUUGGGGAACUUUCGAGUAGACUUUACGAAGUCUUCGUCGUUCGAGCUUUAAUUACGAGGACGUAAUUGCGAAGCCCAGACGUUGAUUGGACGAUGCUGAGAUGACAUUUUUUACGCAGAAGCUCCUCUUUUGCCGACUUCCUUUUUUUUUUCUAAAGGAAUUACCGGCUGUCUUUGGGCGGAAAGGCAAUUCACUUUGAGGCGGAAAGUGACGCGCUGUUACCUUGCUGAAAAGCUACGGAUUCAACCAAGUUUUUCUUGAAUUAGAAAAGUUUCCACUUUCCUAGGGAAUAAUUAAUACGAAAAUGCGACAGGUUUCCAGCAAACCAGAAAACCAAGAAUAGACCAGAUUUCUUUUCGUUAUUUCCAUACACUGGUGACUAUACUUUUUUACUAUUUUUUCUCAAAUUGAAACGAUGAAUAGAAUGCUUCUUUUUCUUUGUCGGUUAUGAAGACUAGCUGUUAUCGUUUAAUUAUUUUCGAGCCAAGAAAAUAUCGCGAGUCCUUUUCUUGCAAUUUCUGUAACACCGGAGAGUCGCGAUAUCGUGCUGCAUAAUCCGAUACAACUGACUGCUCCCUGAAUGGCCAUGAGGUUGUCAAAAGGAUUCCAGGAGAGCUCGUUCCUCGCGAGAUAGCGCAAUAAAAGUUUAGGAUGCAGAUACAGCUAUGUAUGCGUUCCACGAACGAGCACACGUAUAAUGAGAAAAUAUUUCCACGUAAGAAACGCCAGGUAUUCGCCUCUAAUAACGCGCGUUCGCAACGUGGGCUUGUGCACGUAGCCUCGAUCCGCUAUGUAAUUCGCGAGAGCUGGAGAAAUUUUCCAGGUGAGCAAUAACUUCGGCAAUUAAUUAAUCAAAUGGGAUGACGCAGCCAGGUAACGUAAACACGGUGAAUUUAUAUGUCACCCUGACGUGGAAAAAAACCAUAACGUGUAUCGAAAAUAAAAUAUAAAAAGACG